rnacentral:tRNA from 1 species
UCUCUAGUGGCUCAGUGGUAAAGAAUCUGCUUGCAAUGCAGGAGACGCAGGUUUGAUUCCUGGUCUGGGAA